GGAAAGGCUGAAGGAGAGGGCAGACAGUGUUGAUUUUUUUUUUUCAGUUAAUGUGUGUGUACUGGACCUGCAAGCAUCUUUAAGGCAUGAAAAACAAUCUCAUGCUGCAGAUGCGACCAGCUAAUUCCUAUCAGUAGACUGACAGAUGUUUGUGCUUCCUCUUGAUCUAAUGCAAAGUAGGCUGAGCCCUACAGCUGUUUAAAUGUGUCAAUAUUCACCUACAUGCACGUAUCUAGCACCACUGUCACCAGUAACAUAAAAGUCUCUCUAUGCACACAGUUGUGAGAUUCUUACCUCCAAGUGUGUAGCAGUUCAGGAAAGAGUGGCAGCUUCUGCAGCAGAAAUCCUCAAGGAUCUUUUAGGGGGAAGAUAUUGGGAUGCCUACCAAAGUUAUUCCAAAAAUAUGGAUAACCUGUAUGUAGCUUGGAAAGGAAGAUCCUGA
rnacentral:lncRNA from 1 species